AACAGCACGCAUUGCGUAUCGAUUUUCACCCUCAUCGCAAAUGGUUCCUAGGUAGGAACCAGCAGGAAUUGUAGUUGCUGCGUAUCCUGUUGUGGCAUUUGCUAGGCCUAGGCUGCUGUGCGUGUACAUGAAAAACGGAUGUGGACGCCCAACUGUGGAAAACUUGUAGCUCAAAGCUUUUAUUUCUAGUGGUUGAGUAAGAAAUUGAAUAACAAAAUCUCAUCGCGCUGAUAUGAGGUAAUAAAUCAUUAAGAACUAACUACAUCGUGUCUAGGAUAUGGUUUAGACGCAGCAACCGAACUUUCGAUUAUGUCACCGUCGUCGGCGUCUCCUUCCAAUGUCACGAACAGCACGGAGCCAACCGCCGUGUAUGCGAGGACCAAUAUAAGUACACCUAUUCAUUGAUGAUAACAAGAAAACGAAACGUUUUAUAGCUAUAUAGUAGAAUUGUCGUCAGAAAAGUUUACAUUUGAUGAGAAAUAGAAAAUUUGUA